rnacentral:rRNA from 1 species
AAUGAACGUUGGCGGCAUGGAUUAGGCAUGCAAGUCGAGCGCGAAACGUAGCAAUACGUGGAGAGCGGCGAAAGGGAGAGGAAUAUGUGGGAACCUACCUUCGGGCCUGGAAUAGCGGCGGGAAACUGCCGGUAAUGCCAGAUAACGUCCCCGGACCAAAGGGGUGAUUCGGCCUGGGGAUGGGCCCACAUCCUAUCAGCUUGUUGGUGAGGUAACGGCUCACCAAGGCUAAGACGGGUAUGGGGUGUGAGAGCAUGCCCCCACUCACUGGGACCGAGACACUGCCCAGACACCUACGGGUGGCUGCAGUCGAGAAUCUUCGGCAAUGAGCGCAAGCUUGACCGAGCGAUGCCGCGUGCGGGAUGAAGGCCCUCGGGUUGUAAACCGCUGUCGUAGGGGAAUAAAGGUCGGUGGGUUCUCCCAUCGAUUUGAAUGAUCCUAGGAGGGAGGACGGGCUAAGUUCGUGCCAGCCGCCGCAGUAACAC